rnacentral:rRNA from 1 species
AAAUUACGUGCCAGCAGUCGCGGUAAUACGUAAAAGACGAGUGUUAUUCAUCUUUAAUCGGUUUAAAGGGUACCUAGACGGAAAAUCAAGCUUAAUUAAACUAAGGACUAGUUUUCUAGAGUUUGACAUGAGAAGGUACGAACUAUCAGAGGAGAGAUAAAAUUUGUUGAUACUGGUGGGACGGACAACGGCGAAGGCAAUCUUCUACUAAAAACUGACGUUGAGGGACGAAGCCUUGGGGAGCGAGAAGGAUUAGAUACCCUAGUAGUCCUUGGAGAAAAUUAUGAGUGCCAUAGACUAAAGUGAAAAAGAAGUUCUUUUAAAAGAACUUUGUAUCUGAGCCUUAAUUGGAUACAAAGGUCUCGAGUAGCAGUUUAUAAAUGAAAGUGUAAGCAUUCCACCUCAUGACUAAAGCGGCAACGCCCAAAUUGAAAUCAUUAGACCGUUUCUGAAACCAGUAGUGAAGUAUGUUAUUUAAUUCGAUAACCCGCGAAUAACCUUACCACGUUUUGAAUUUAUUAAACAAGUGUUGCACGGCUGUCUUCAGUUAAUGUCGUGAGAUUUUGGUUUGUUCCAUUAAUUACCGAAAACCCUUGUUUCAUUUUUAUAUGAAAUAGUUCACCAUUAUAUUGG